GCUGGGAGGCCCCAGAUGGGCGGGGCGCGCCGUGGGGUUGGGGAGGGCAGGGGGCGGGGAGGAGGAGCAGGCGCUGGCGGGCAGUGAUGGCGGCGGGUGAUGGGGACGUGAAGCUAGGCACCCUGGGGAGUGGCAGCGAGAGCAGCAGCGACGGCAGCAGCGAGAGCCCGGGCGGCGCGGGAGCGGCAGCAGAAGGGGGCGGCUGGGCGGCAGCGGCGUUGGCGCUUCUGACGGGGGGCGGGGAGAUGCUGCUGAACGUGGCGCUGGUGGCGCUGGUGCUGCUGGGGGCCUACCGGCUGUGGGUGCGCUGGGGGCGGCGGGGUCUGGGCGCCGGGGCCGGGGCGGGAGAGGAGAGCCCCGCCGCCUCCCUGCCUCGCAUGAAGAAGCGGGACUUCAGCUUGGAGCAGCUGCGCCAGUACGACGGGUCCCGCACCCCGCGCAUCCUGCUCGCGGUCAAUGGGAAAGUCUUCGACGUGACCAAAGGCAGCAAGUUCUACGGCCCGGCGGGUCCAUAUGGAAUAUUUGCUGGUAGGGAUGCCUCCAGAGGACUGGCGACAUUUUGUCUAGAUAAAGAUGCACUUAAAGAUGAAUAUGAUGAUCUCUCAGAUUUGAAUGCCGUACAAAUGGAGAGUGUUCGAGAAUGGGAAAUGCAAUUUAAAGAAAAAUAUGAUUAUGUAGGCAGACUCCUAAAACCAGGGGAAGAACCAUCAGAAUAUACAGAUGAAGAAGAUACCAAGGAUCACAAUAAACAGGAUUGAACUUUGUAAACAACCAAAGUCAGGGGCCUUCAGAACUGCAGUUCUUACUCCCUUUCACAGAAUGUCCAGCGUCUUUGGGUUUGGUUCACCUGCUGCAAAAAACAUUCAACAAAUUUGUACAAGCUAAAUGAGUCUCGCUAUGAAGAUGUGAAUACUAGACAUUAUUUAUGCUGCCACACUCAUUUGUUGCAGUCGUGAGUAAUGUCUGGUGGGGCUUCAUCAUCCUGGAAAGAAGGAGACAGGGAUUUUUUAAAGAGCAAGAAAGUCAAGAGGUUAUUUUUCCCUUAUUUCUUUUAUUUCUCUUUUUUUUUUUGUUUAAAAUCAAAGACAGCCAGAUAUGUAUUUGCUACUCAAGUGUACAAAUCUCAAAGAACAGCAAGGGAUUCCUGUUUCACGUGCUGUGUUUUUGUUUGGCAUUGAGGGAGGGAGGAGACGAGAGGUGGGGGUGCACGUCCGUUUGAGUAGUCGAAGCUACUGAAACAGUAAAAUGUGAAUUCCCAAACUUUUCUUUUUGGGUUUUGUCAGGGAAAAGAGGAAAAAAAACCUUUAUUUCUAAGAAAUCUUUGGAAAUUAAGAGAAGGGAUUUCAAGUCAAUUUAAGUCAAAGCUAAUUUCCCAACAGUAAGAUUAUUUGAAACUAGUUUUUAUCCCUUCCCUUUCCCUAGAUCAAAUCAAUAUUAAUUGUGCCUUAUUUCACUUACAUAGACUUGAAUUAUUUUUCGGGAAAGCCCCUAUGUGAAUUCAGAAGUCACUACAAGCAGCAUUGAGACUGAAGUUGGAAUAUUCUGUUGACCGCAAAACCUUGAUGUCAUUCUGUGUAUAUAGAAUGUAAAAGGAAUAUUCAGUGUUACUGCCAUAUAUGUUGAUAAUACACAAACUUAAUUAGCAUUGUAAUGGCCAAAUGCAUUCUCCCAUGCUUUUCUCUUUUCAAGAAAAUUGAAAAACAAAUCAACAACUCUGUCCCCCAACAGCUGCCUAAUUUUGAGUCUGACCCUCACAUCUCACUGGUGUGGGUGCAUGGGGCCGUAGUAUGGAUGUCGUAUGGGUGUGUCUGAAUGUGUGUGCAAGCGUCAUGGAAGGGACUCUGCAGAUACUGUAAAUACCAGUACCGUUUUAAUAAAGCAUGUAUAAUAAACCAAAAUAAGCUUGAGUUGGACUUUAUAUACAAACUGUAAGCCAGUGCAUUAUGAUAUGGUAGUCAAGAUUGUGCAUUUGAUUCAAGAUAAGGCAAAAAUCUUGGAAAUGAAAAGCAGGCACUGGUUAACCAAGUUGUACACAUUGUACCACAUUCACUGUAACUUUAGGAAGAAUUCCACUUUGUGGAACAUUCUCAAGAGAUCUGAGAUUAUUCAGGUAAGAAUUGAUAUAUAAAAAUGUACGUAUUUUUACUUUAUAUUUUGAUGCCAACUGAUUAUACUACAAGUAAUAGCACUCAAGGUUGUAGUUCCUGAACACAAAACAAUAAAGGAUAUUAUACUGAUAGUAUUAAAUUCUUUUCUUGUUAGUUUGAAAAGGCCCUUGCUAAAAGUCCUAUUUGUGUCAGUUAUUUGAUUUCAUCAUGACUAUUUAGGUUCUUGGUUGGGGACAAGUUACACCAAAAAAGACACUUAACAAGUCACCAGUUAAAGAGAAAACUUCUCCUACUUUAUGAGUAUAAUGUAUGCAGAAACCAUCAAGGAAAGGGGAACUUUUAAUGGCAAUAAUAAGCUAAAGUAUGUAAAAUACUACAUUAUAUUCAGUCUUGGAAUGUUUUGUAGAAAAUGAUGAACUUCAGCCACAUCUUUGCUGAAGACUUGUAAAGACUGAAGAGUAUUAGUAAAUACUUUGUGUGUUUUUAUGUAAAAUUUUUUCUAAAAUUUGUUAAAGUAUACGUCCUCUGUAGUAAACUGAUACAUAUAUGAAUCAUUUGAGCCUAAAGUUCAGAAAUAAAUCUACACUUGUGAAUAGAGAAACUCUAAAUAUUCAUGCAGUAAAAAUUAUGCAGUCUGUUAAGAAAAAUGAGUAAUUUUGUGUUUUGAACUUGAAAUAAACAGUGUUCUAUAGACAAUUCCUCAA